rnacentral:rRNA from 1 species
GACGAACGCUGGCGGCGUGCUUAACACAUGCAAGUCGAACGGAAAGGCCCUGCUUUUGUGGGGUGCUCGAGUGGCGAACGGGUGAGUAACACGUGAGUAACCUGCCCUUGACUUUGGGAUAACUUCAGGAAACUGGGGCUAAUACCGGAUAGGAGCUCCUGCUGCAUGGUGGGGGUUGGAAAGUUUCGGCGGUUGGGGAUGGACUCGCGGCUUAUCAGCUUGUUGGUGGGGUAGUGGCUUACCAAGGCUUUGACGGGUAGCCGGCCUGAGAGGGUGACCGGCCAAAUUGGGAGUGGGAUACGGCCCAGGCCCCCACGGGGGGCAGGGGGGGGGAAUAUUGCACAAUGGGGGGAAGCCGGAUGCAGCAACGCCGGGGGGGGGAGGAGGGCCUUGGGGGUGAAAACCGCUUUGGCCGGUGCCGAAGGGGGGGUGACGGUAAUGGGUAAAAAAGCCCCGGCUAACUACGU